rnacentral:lncRNA from 1 species
UCCGGUACACCACUUCUUUCUCAAUUGGUGAUCCAGCUCAACACCAUCACCCCCAGGCAUUAGUGGCACCAGACGGGCUUUUCAAAAAGGCUUUGAUACCACCCUUGAGUUACCAACACCAUGCAUAUACUCAUCCUAUGUGUAGCACUACCAUCUACUUGUCAACCUUAUCUGCAUGACUCUCAUAGAUGGUAAGGUCAUGCUUAAAUGCAAGUGCUCCAGAGGAGCCAUCGGUAACACCAUAUCGAGGGUGUAUCGAUUAUUCAUGAUCAUAUGCAUCGGAAUAAGGUAUUCAACAUGGCAUGCAUAAAAUAUUUUCUCACACAUGGUCAAAGGGAUGCUUGCCUUGGUCUAAUAGGUCUCCGGGGUCUUCGAGGUCUUCUAGUCCAACUC